GACAGAGGGUGCAAACGUUGUUCGGCAUUACUGGGCGUAAAGCGCGUGUUGGCUGCUCUGAAAGUCGGAUGUGAAAGCCCUGGGCUCAACCUAGGAAGUGCACUCGAAACUUCAGAGCUGGAGUCCUGGAGAGGAAGGCGGAAUUCUCGGUGUAGAGGUGAAAUUCGUAGAUAUCGAGAGGAACACCGGUGGCGAAGGCGGCCUUCUGGACAGUGACUGACGCUGAGACGCGAAAGCGUGGGGAGCAAACAGG
rnacentral:rRNA from 1 species